CCGGAAAGGGCGGAGGAGGGAAGGCUUUAGUGUAGAAAACCAACCAAACCAAACCCAAACCAACAAAACCCUUCACCUAAAACCCGAAGCUACCCAGACCUCAGAAUUUUGGAUGUCUAUUAAGUUGGCGGGAUCUGACGCACUAAGAAGGCUAGACAGUUUGAAAAGAGCCCCUAUCAAAGCAACCUGAAUUCUGCUAAAAUUGAAGCAAGAACAAACAUGGAGUUUCUGGUGAAGAAUGAUGAAAUUGAUGCCUUAUGAAAAGUUUAUGAGGACAAUGCCCCAAAUAAAUCAUCAGUCUACAAAUGCAUAACUCAUUUUAAGAAACGAGGAGAUGGACAAGCAUGGUGGCUCAUGCCUGUAAUCCCAGCACUUUGGGAGGAUUAUGCACGAGCCUCUCUCAAGCCCAGGAGUUUGAGACCAGCCUGGGCAACAUAGCGAGACCUCAUCUCACUAAAAAUUUAAAAAUUAGCCAAGUGUGGUGGUGCACACCUGUAGUUCCAGCGUCUUGGGAGGCUGAGGCAGGAGGAUUGCUUGAGCCCAGCAGUUCAAGGUUGCAGUGAGCUAUGAUUGCACCACCGUGCUGCAGCCUGGGUAACAGAGUGAGAACCUGUCUCAACAAAAAGGGGAGGAGAUGAUGUUGAAGAUACAGAUAGUGGCAGACUAUCCACAUCACUUUGUGAGGAAAAAAAUUCAUCUUGUUUGUGCCCUAAUUGAAGAGAACUGACAACAGCAGAAACAAUAGCCAACACCAUAGACAUCUCAGUUGGGUCAGUUUACACAAUUCUGACUGAAAAGUUACAGUGGAGCAAACUUUCAACUCGAUAGGUAACAAAACUGUUGUACCCAGAUCUGCUACAGUUAAGAGGAGAGCUUUCAGUGGAAAGUUUAAACAAGUGGGGUCAAGAUCCUUGAUAUGGCUUUGUGACCUCACCCAAAUCUCAU
rnacentral:lncRNA from 1 species